AACGUACAUUUACAAAGUAAAUGACGAGUACGAUACGUUGUCUGACGACGACGUUGUUUAUAUAUCAGUACGGCGCAUGUCGAUGGACGGAAUUUCUAAUUGAAGACCGACCGGAGUGCGUCGUCGUUGCGCUACCCGUUUACUAGACCACGCGUCUUGUUCUCGGGCCUUGUACACACACUGAUGUAAAUGGCAUUUUACGUGCCAGCGCGCUACCCGGUCGAUCAUGGCGUUCUGUCAUGUCGGCGGGCAUGUCAGUGUGUUGCGAAACGCGUUCGUUAUAAACGUCGCGGAAUACAUAACAAUCAUGCUGCGUAUCAUCCGAUGCGUUUCAGCGAAUGCAGAGACUCGCUUAGUCGCGUUCUCUGAGGUGCGCAUUUCGCGUGAGUUUUGCGUUCGGUCGCAUACCCACAUAGUCGAUUUGCCGUACGACAUGAACACGAUUAAUUUGUGUCGCCAAGUACCCGAGGGGAAAAUCGGCACAGGAUAUUGUAAUCAUUACGUGUUGACAUCUGCACGUACGAUUUCUGAGCGAGAUCGUUCGUGCGAAUAGAGGUUUUCGCCGCCGCGAGGCGAGCGUUAACUGGCUCUUGUCCGACGGGAUUCCGCCGAGCGCGGAUCUCGAGCGAUCGUACGCGUCAGUCUCCGGACUGCGCGACUUUCGUUUGCGCGUCGCGGACUUCGAAUUCAAUUCGAACGUCCGCAGCGGACAUUUGCAAUAGAUUCCACAUCCAUAUGUUGGAAACUGAGACCGAGCGUCUCGAGCCCGAGGCGAUUGAGCCGACGGUGUACGAAUUGAAACUGCCAAAUAAUACAUGCUUUUCGUGUUCGAUUCGAUGUCCCGAGGGAUUCGUCCGACUCGAAAGUUGUAUAAACAUUAUAAACACCC
rnacentral:misc_RNA from 2 species